AUGACACCCUCUCCGGCUCAAGUACACCGACAUCAAACACUCUAUGUUGAUCCGCGCGCCAAGACCGUCAAGCAAAUCUCACUCCUCUACACGACAAUCAUCCACAAGAGCAAUUCGACGAGCAAGCACAUUGUCAUCGCCAAAACUAAGCUACUCUUGCACAAGCACAAGAAAGGCAACAUUAACGUCACCAAGAGGAAGAGCGAGCGCACCAACACCAAGACGAACAAGAUGCCGAGGCUCGACGUGUUCAACAACAACGGCGAGAAGCUCAAGCACUUGAGGCACAACGUGCCCUUCUCGACACAAGUCGCAACAUCGCCGCAUGCAAUCGACAAACGCGUGAACAAGAAGAAGCACUUCGCGAUGAAGUUCAAGAUAGGAUUUAUCAAGCACGUGUGCAUCGUCAAGUUCCUCAAGCUCCUCCAAAUGCUCGACAAGGUCCUCCACAACCUUGACAAGAACCUCAAGUUCACCAAGAGCAUGAUGACUAUGGAAAUCCUCCACGACAAGUGCAAGUUGAGGGAGACAAUCCUCCGUGUCAAGGACGUCAUCACCCUCGACCCCAACACAAUGAAGAGCAACACUACGGAAAGCUCAUGUUCACCAUGCCCAAGUUCACCGGAAGCAAUGAUCCCGAAGAGUACAUUUCAUGGGCAUUGA
rnacentral:rRNA from 1 species